rnacentral:lncRNA from 1 species
UAGAGGCUAAAUAAAAGUGUUCCUUCUACCCUAAACCAUGUUGGUUUUUUUUCUAUAGAAAAAACAGCUCCAAAGAAGCAGCUGAAAGAGCGCAAAGCUCCCAUCAGUUU